rnacentral:rRNA from 1 species
GAUGAACGCUGGCGGCGUGCCUAAUACAUGCAAGUCGAGCGAACGGACGAGAAGCUUGCUUCUCUGAUGUUAGCGGCGGACGGGUGAGUAACACGUGGAUAACCUCCCUAUAAGACUGGGAUAACUUCGGGAAACCGGAGCUAAUACCGGAUAAUAUUUUGAACCGCAUGGUUCAAAAGUGAAAGUCGGUCUUGCUGUCACUUAUAGAUGGAUCCGCGCUGCAUUAGCUAGUUGGUAAGGUAACGGCUUACCAAGGCAACGAUGCAUAGCCGACCUGAGAGAGUGAUCGGCCACACUGGAGGUGAGACACGGUCCAGACUACUAAGGGAGGCAGCAGUAGGGAACCGUCCGCAAUGGGCGAAAGCCUGACGGAGCAACGCCGAGUGAGUGAUGAAGGUCUUCGGAUCGUAAAACUCUGUUAUUAGGGAAGAACAUAUGUGUAAGUAACUGAGCACAGCUUGACGGUAACUAAUCAGAAAGCCACGGCUAACUACGUG